AACAAUUUACCUUUAUUAUAAAUGGUUAAAUAAUACCUUUAUUUAGCCAAUGUAAAAAAGAAAAACACAGAUGACAAUUCAAAAUAUAUCAAACAUAUAACGGAAAGUAUGUUGUUGAGUGUCAUUGGGCAUUUUAAGUGGGUGAAUGGAAAUCCUGGACAUUUGUUAGUGGGUAUACUGUGUAUACCUGCGUGUCACGUAGACUACACCACUGCCCUCAGCCACUGUG